rnacentral:rRNA from 1 species
UAACGCGUGGAUAACCUGCCUCACACAGGGGAGAACAAGUUAGAAAUGACUGCUAAUACCGCAUAAGCGCACGGCAUCGCAUGAUGCAGUGUGAAAAACUCCGGUGGUGUGAGAUGGAUCCGCGUCUGAUUAGGUAGUUGGUGGGGUAACGGCCUACCAAGCCGACGAUCAGUAGCCGACCUGAGAGGGUGACCGGCCACAUUGGGACUGAGACACGGCCCAA